rnacentral:lncRNA from 1 species
GUAGGAGAGAGGGACAACAGUAGGAGCAGGCAGAUCUUGCUGUUUCAACCAAAACCUCAUGCUGACCAGAGUUGAGGAACAGAAGAAGAUGGUGAAGGCCUGCAGGUAUAGGUGUUCAGCAUGUCAUCUGAAAUAUUCCCCACAGAGGCAAAAAGAAAGGAAAUUAUCUCUGAAAAGGAAUGGGAGGACAAGUCAGCAGAAUAUGUCAAUGUUUUGGUUGAAGAAGCUGCUUGAAUCUGGGCUUUUCUGUGCCAUGUGUUCUCCCAGGGCCAGCACAAAGAAGGGCUUUUGGUGCAGGCCCAAGACCACCAUAAUCAUCAUUGAUUAUUCCUCUCCACGCCAGUGUCUCUAAAUAAACUUUCUCUUCUUUCUCUGACAAAGGUGUUUUUGAGUGUUACUGUUUAGCUGAAGAGUGACGUUGAGUGACCUUAGUACCCUAGCCCUUCAUGUAAUCAGAUGGGUGUUGUAAGCAGAGGGAGAACCAUGUGAGUCAGGAGGAAAUAUGUAGUUUACCCUUUUUUUCCUGUUUGAAAGAUUUACUAUGAUGUUCAUGGUUGGGCUUUUGUUUGGGAUAAAUUGAGAUGCUUUCUGGAUAUGAUAAGGGCUUAUUUGGUUUGAUAGACCGUCUAAACAAGGCCAGUGCAGGCUGAGCCAGGUGAACCACCAGAUCACCAUCAGCUCACACUUCUCAUUCAUUUGUUAGCAGAAAUGAAGAUGCUUGUUUUCCUAGAAACAAGCCCAGGUCAUCCAUCAUGAAGUCCAGGAAUUGUAAAUGUGAGGAAGUGCAAAGACACAACGUACACUUACAAAGGCAUAUGUGCAUUUGGAAUUCUUUAAAGGACAACAUCCUCGAGCUUCUCCUGGCCAAUAUGGAGUGAGCAGAAAACAUUUGGAUUAGUUGCCACCAUGGAAAAGAGCUUUCAUGUAAAAUCUAGAUAUUUGACAUCUUGGUUGCUCUUAAAAAUGUGCAAUGUCUAUCAAUACUGGAUUUUAACUGGCUUGAGCUCAGAAGCAUCUUUCGGAAGAGGCACGUACACGUCAAUUUGUCUAUCUCCACAAAUCCUUACUUUAUACUACCUGCCUGAGCUCUGAAGACAUUUGAUUUUGUAACCUCUGUCCUAAACUUUUGGUAGCUAGCACUACCAACUCUGUUGGUUCCAUUGCUCUCUUGCCCACAGUUAUCAAACAGUAAAGAGGACAGUUUGAUAUUCUAGGCAGGGGAUCCAAGGACAAGCAUCUGGAAUUGUAUACAGGGCAACCUUCUUUUUGGAUCUUUAUUCAGAUCGCUGGGACCACACAUUAUCAAGCCUACCUUGUUGCUAGCCUCAGAAUCCCUUCUUUUUCCUGAAGAAUAGUUUGAAAUCCAUGAGGAAAUUAAAGGAAUUAUAACCACAGAGAAGAGAAUCAGUUGUCUGUCUGGAUGUGACUUGGGCUCCAAAUUGGGACAGAAGACUCAUAACACAUUAUCUCCUGCCCCUGACACUCAUUAUUAUUUUUUGGUGUGUAUAACACUGUGUUCUCUAAAGCUUUCUUGAUAGCUGGGACAGCAAGAACAUUGUGUUAGGCAGAGGAAUUGCCUUAAACAGGUCCUAGACCUGUGAAUCUUUUUCCAGUUUUGUGAUUCCCUGAAGGGCGGGGACCCUGACUGACCUCUACCUGUAUUGUUGGUGUGUGACAAUAACAAUGGCAGUGAUGAGAUGAUAAUGUUGGAGCAGGAUAACUCACUGGAUUAUUAGUUUGUGUAUAUUCUCAAUAUAUUUCCCCUCCCUUCUUUGAAGCAGAGAGCCACAUUUUGAUUUUGUGUUUUUUUGCUUUGGGUGGGGGAUGAAAUGAGCUCUUUGUACAUAAUUCCCGUCCUGAUUUUUGGUAUCCAAAAUCCAUAAUUCCCUUGCUGAGUUUUUGAUAUUAUUGGUAUUAUGUUUUGGGGGCAACUUAAUUUUAUCUCACCUUCCAAUACAGCCUGAGAUAAGAACUUGUGUCUGGGCUUUGUAAUGGGAGGUAGAUUAUAGGAAGCAGAAGGGAGGGGACAGGCCAUGUGGGACAGGGAAGGAAGAAAAUAAAGAGUAUGUUACUGAGCUGAGUAUUGUCAUCAGCAACGGGGGUUCAAUCCUGCUGGAGACCCUCUAAGAAACUGUGGAAUGCACCUUGGAAUUAUCUCUCCCGAUGCUGGGAGGCUGGGACAUGUAAUGGAUUUCCAUCCUCUACUAGUUGAAGGUUUCCUCUAGGAAUGUUAACUGCCCCCUUCCUGGGCUGCCUAGCACCUUUGAUAGGUAGGAAUACUUGGUCCCUGAUGUAUUAUUCUCUGCUUUUUUAGGGCCUCAGCCAAAACGGAGACACAAAAUGCAUCAUGCUAACAUUGUUGAGUUAAACUAGAAAAUCACAGGAAAAGAUUAAAAAAUGGAGAUCAAGAGAAAGAGGGAAAAACAAAGACCAGAAUAAACAUAAUUUCUAUUCAUCCCCUGGAUUAGUGAGCACAAGCCAUGCUUCUUGAUUCGAGCUCAGGUGAAGGGUGAAAUGCAGCCACAUCUAUAUUUUCCAAUGCCUUAUCUGUCUUCCUUUUUGGUCUCUUUGCUUGUUUUAUUUUAUAGGCUCAACGCACCUUCAUAUCUAUUAUCAACAAUAAAUGGGCCUGGUAUCAUUGGAAACGUGAAAAAUAGAACGUAAGAACUUUCAACCCCCCAAGUAAACCCUGGCUCCUCCAUUAUCUCUGAGGUUUCCCAUAAGAUCUCUUAAAAGUUUGUUGUUUUCCAAUGCGAACACAUCACACACUGGGGCCAGUUGUAGGGUGGGGAGCAAGGGGAGGGAGAUCAUUAGGACAAAUACCUAAGUCAUGUGGGGCUUGAAACCUAGAUGACAGGUUGAUAGGUGCAGCAAACCACUAUGCACAUGUAUACCCAUGUAAUAAACCUGCACGUUCUGCACAUGCAUCUCAGAACUUAAAGCAAAAAGAUAAAAUAAAAGUUUGUUGUUUUCAUGGAAGAGUUAGGUGAACUAAUUUCCAAACCAGUUGAUCACCACCAGUGUC